GCUCCUCUGCCAGAAUUUGCUCUGCGCCAAACUCCGAUUUCAAGCUGCUCCAUUUCAAUUGCUCACAGCUACACUUCAAAAAAGGAAGAGCUCUGUUGUAUUUCAGCAUACCAAAUCAUCAUCAGUGUAAAAGAAUCUAAUUUCAUUCUCAGCAAGAAGGAAAAGAAGUACAUCUCCCAUCUUUCACUCUUCCUAAUAUUUUGCCAGUAGUGCUGUGGAACAUCCAGGUGCUCUUUCGCAAACUUCAAACGUGCAGCAAUAAGCAGUGACUUCUUCCAUGGUGUCCUCCCAUGAACUCAACAGAGAUGUUAGCAUGUGCCAGAGAUUUGUAUCAGGCUGGAGCUACACGAGGACAGUCGGUACCUUCACAGCUGUCCACAGGAGUGAGUCCCUCUCCUCUGUUGAUGGUCCAACACAUCUUUGUAGGGAUCCCGAGGUAUCCCAUCACACCCGUGUACAUCCGGUACCAGCUGGCCAGGACCACCUGUGGAGCAGAGACGGAUGACAAUCAGUGUGAAGCCUCUUUAAACAACAUGUUUGAAAGGUC